CAAAUUUUGUAAUAGUAAUCCAAGUUAUUUCAGUUGCAAGGUUUUCAACAGUGAUGAAGCAGCCGCUGGGUUUAAUGAGCCACAUGUGGUCACUGAGAACCAGAGAUGCGAUGAAAGACCAUUGCUGUUGAGGUGUGGUGAAGAAAUAGGGCACAGUCGAAAGCAAUGCUAAAUUACUCCAGAGUGGUUUUUACUGUGAACAUUUGUAAAGAGGUGGAUGGACUGAAAGGUUUCUGCGGUUUAAGGCCUGGGCAGGUCACAGACAGUCUGAAACACUCCAGACCUUAAAGAAACAAAUCUUGCUCAACAGACGACUCCCUCCAGACGCUCAAAUGCAAAUGAGAGGACAGAGCAGUGGUCAUAAAUCAUCCAAUG